rnacentral:lncRNA from 1 species
UUCCCCCUAGGGACUGAGCUGCAGCAGGAUCAAGGGACCCAUUGUCCCCCACCAGGGUGCUCCGGCCCUCAGGAACCCCUUGGAUCAACAGAAGAGACAGGUGUCCCAGGUGAAAAGGGCCCCAUUUGUCUGCCUGGCUGUGAUAGGGUGCAGAGUCGUGUGUGAUUUCCCGGUCCUGCUGGGCCUCCAGGUGUGGCUGGAGAAGACGGAGACCAAAAGAAGAACCCCAGAGAACCCAGCCAAUCUUCUCUCCACAUGAGAGGGGCGAGGGCUCUCCUGGACCCCCUCGACUCAUUGGUCUGUGGAACAGCCUGGAGCAGUGGGAGCAGACUGGGAGCCCGGAGCUCAGGGACCCCAGGGACACUUUGGAGCCAGAGUGUGGGGAACCAAAGGCAAUAAAGGAACAAGAGGAUUCACAGACCUACAGCUCUGGUGUAUCUGUUCCCUCCGCAAGGACUACCUGGACCCAGUGGCACUGAUGGUCCCCUGACAGGUAUUGGGGACCUGGGUCCUCCUGGAGAGAAGGUAAUUGGGAAAGGGGUGAAGGGGAUGAAGGG